CCUACGGGAGGCAGCAGUGAGGAAUAUUGGUCAAUGGCCGAGAGGCUGAACCAGCCAAGUCGCGUGAGGGAAGACGGCCCUCCGGGUUGUAAACCUCUUUUGUCGGGGAGCAAAGCGAGUCACGUGUGACUCAUUGAGAGUACCCGAAGAAAAAGCAUCGGCUAACUCCUUGCCAGCAGCCGCGGUAAUACGGAGGAUGCGAUCGUUAUCCGGUUUUAUUGGGUUUAAAGGGGGCGCAGGAGGGGGUGCAAGUCAGCGGUAAAAUUGCGGGGCUCAACCCCGUACUGCCGUUGAAACUGCAUCCCUUGAGUGCGCGAGAAGUAUGCGGAAUGCGUGGUGUAGCGGUGAAAUGCAUAGAUAUCACGCAGAACUCCGAUUGCGAAGGCAGCAGACCGGCGCGCAACUGACGCUCAUGCACGAAAGCGUGGGUAUCGAACAGGAUUAGAUACCCCAGUAGUC
rnacentral:rRNA from 1 species